rnacentral:misc_RNA from 1 species
GAGAAUCAUCGAAUUUUUGAAGGGAGAGGGAAAGGGGGGGGAUGCCGGAGAGUAUGCCUAUUUGAGGGUCAUUUGAAAUAAUAUAAAUUCCAAGAUUUCUCGGAAUUUAAAAUGGGUUGUCCAUUUUUUGUGGUCGCCUAAAAUCCAAGACAAGCUCAUUUUCUUGGGUUGCGUGAUACUUUCAGCUACCUCGUGACUUAACCAGGAAUCAUCGGGCGAGUUAGGAAUUUUGCAAGAG